rnacentral:rRNA from 1 species
AGAGUUUGAUCCUGGCUCAGAUUGAACGCUGGCGGCAUGCCUUACACAUGCAAGUCGAACGGUAACAGGUCUUCGGAUGCUGACGAGUGGCGAACGGGUGAGUAAUACAUCGGAACGUGCCCGAUCGUGGGGGAUAACGCAGCGAAAGCUGUGCUAAUACCGCAUACGAUCUACGGAUGAAAGCGGGGGAUCGCAAGACCUCGCGCGGACGGAGCGGCCGAUGGCAGAUUAGGUAGUUGGUGGGAUAAAAGCUUACCAAGCCGACGAUCUGUAGCUGGUCUGAGAGGACGACCAGCCACACUGGGACUGAGACACGGCCCAGACUCCUACGGGAGGCAGCAGUGGGGAAUUUUGGACAAUGGGCGAAAGCCUGAUCCAGCCAUGCCGCGUGCAGGAUGAAGGCCUUCGGGUUGUAAACUGCUUUUGUACGGAACGAAAAAGUCUUCUCUAAUACAGGGGGCGAAUGACGGUACCGUAAGAAUAAGCACCGGCUAACUACGUGCCAGCAGCCGCGGUAAUACGUAGGGUGCGAGCGUUAAUCGGAAUUACUGGGCGUAAAGCGUGCGCAGCGGGUAUAUAAGACAGAUGUGAAAUCCCGGGCUCAACCUGGGAACUGCAUUAAUGACUGUAUAGCUAGAGUGCGGCANAAGGGGGAUGGAAUUUCCCGUGUAGCA